rnacentral:rRNA from 1 species
GUAGGUGGCAAGCGUUGUCCGGAAUUAUUGGGCGUAAAGCGCGCGCAGGCGGUUCUUUAAGUCUGAUGUGAAAGCCCACGGCUCAACCGUGGAGGGUCAUUGGAAACUGGGGGACUUGAGUACAGAAGAGGAAAGCGGAAUUCCAAGUGUAGCGGUGAAAUGCGUAGAGAUUUGGAGGAACACCAGUGGCGAAGGCGGCUUUCUGGUCUGUAACUGACGCUGAGGCGCGAAAGCGUGGGGAGCAAACAGGGAUUAGAUACCCUGGUAGUCCACGCCGUAAACGAUGGGUGCUAAGUGUUAGGGGGUUUCCCGCCCCCCUUAGUGCUGCAGCUAACGCAUUAAGCACUCCGCCUGGGGAGUACGGCCGCAAGGCUG